ACUCCUACGGGGGCAGCAGUGGGGAAUUUUGCGCAAUGGGGGAAACCCUGACGCAGCAACGCCGCGUGGGUGACGAAGGCCUUCGGGUCGUAAAGCUCUGUCUGGAGGGAAGAAAUGAUUGGGAGCUAAUACCUCUUGAUCUUGACGGUACCUCUGAAGGAAGCACCGGCUAACUCCGUGCCAGCAGCCGCGGUAAU
rnacentral:rRNA from 1 species